rnacentral:rRNA from 1 species
CCUACGGGUGGCUGCAGUGAGGAAUAUUGGUCAAUGGACGAAAGUCUGAACCAGCCAUGCAGCGUGCAGGAUGACGGCUCUAUGAGUUGUAAACUGCUUUUAUAUAAGGGUAAACCUGAAUAUGCGUAUUCAGCUGUAUGUACCGUACGAAUAAGGAUCGGCUAACUCCGUGCCAGCAGCCGCGGUAAUACUGAGGAUCCAAGCGUUAUCCGGAUUUACUGGGUUUAAAGGGUGCGUAGACGGCUUGAUAAGUUAGAGGUGAAAUGUCCGAGCUUAACUCGGGAACUGCCGCUAGUACUGUUGAGCGAGAGAGUAGAUGCGGUAGGCGGAAUGUAUGGUGUAGCGGUGAAAUGCUUAGAGAUCAUACAGAACACCGAUUGCGAAGGCAGCUUGCCAAUCUAUAUCUGACGUUGAGGCACGAAAGCGUGGGGAGCGAACAGGAUUAGAUACCCUAGUAGUC